CACAAUGCUCAUCAUGACAUCAUAGCGUUUCCUAGGAGGACCAGGUCUAUGCCUGUGUACUUGCACACUCAUUUGUGAGUUGGAUCAUGGAUCAUGGCAGGUUUGGGAACAGUAAGUACUUUGCAAGAAACUCGUGUGGCUGAGGUCAAAGAAAUUAUUAUGUCUGCGCAUUCUUGGCAGAUGCUUGGGGAGCUGUGCAGAGCUUUCUUCUUUUGCAAAGCAAAGCGAAGAGUUUAGUUUGCAGAAAAUGACAUCUGAUUCUUAUAGAAAGAAAGCAAUUACAUUUUGGAGCCUGCCUGCCCG
rnacentral:lncRNA from 1 species